GGCUAUGAGGGUGAUCUGGCUGUGACAUCUGUCAUCCCAUUGAUUACCAGUGUUGAUUCAGCUGACCUGGCUAGACUUUUGUACCCCUCAUACCUCAGUGUUCCCUAUGCCUCUGUCCCAAGGCUGCACACUUGGUCUGAGAGGGCGACAAGUUUUCCCACUGAGAAGGACUGGUCUUAGUCAUGGGUAUACAAAUAGGCUGUGAUCCCCUGCUACAAUCUCCAAACAACCAGUACUGAGUCAGAACUAAGCCAGUAGACCUGCAUUCCAUCCAGGUCUCCU
rnacentral:snRNA from 1 species